rnacentral:rRNA from 1 species
UACGUAGGGUCCGAGCGUUGUCCGGAAUUAUUGGGCGUAAAGGGCUCGUAGGCGGUUCGUCACGUCGGGAGUGAAAACUCGGAGCUUAACUCCGAGCCUGCUUCCGAUACGGGCAGACUAGAGGUAGGCAGGGGAGAGCGGAACUCCUGGUGUAGCGGUGGAAUGCGCAGAUAUCAGGAAGAACACCGGAGUCGAAGGCGGCUCUGUCGGCUACCUACGCUGAGGAGCGAAAGCUGGGGAGCGAACAGG